GAUGAACGCUGGCGGCGUGCUUAACACAUGCAAGUCGAACGGAAAGACGAGGCUUUUGCUGGUCGCUCGUGUGCCGAACGGGUGAGUAACACGCGUGUAACCUGCACUUGUAUGUGGGAUAUCAUUAGGAAAAUGGGGCUAAUACCGGAUAGGAGCUCCUGCUGCGUGGUGGGGGAUGGAAAGUUUCGGCGGUUGUGGAUCGACUCGCUGCUUAUCAGCUAGUUGGGGGGGUAGUUGCUGACCAAGGCUUUGACGGGUAGCCUGCAUGAGCGGGUGGCCGGGCACAAUGGUACUGAGAGACGGAGCAGUCUCGUACGUGAGGCAGUAGUGGGGAAUAUUGCACAACGGGCGCAAGCGUGAUGCAGCAACGCUGCGUGCGUGAUAACGUCCUACGGGUUGUAAACCGCUUUGGACUGUGCCGAAGCGUGAGUGACGGUAAUUGGUAAAAAAGCACCGGCUAACUACGUG
rnacentral:rRNA from 1 species